rnacentral:pre_miRNA from 1 species
UCUUGUGGCUAGGACUCGGCCUGUGACUUGUGUGUCAGGUGUCACAUCACAGUCAGAGUUCUAGCUCCACGG